UACGUAGGGUGCAAGCGUUGCCCGGAUUCAUUGGGCGUAAAGGGUGCGUAGGCGGCGGGGCAAGUCUGAUGUGAAAUCCCGGGGCUCAACCCCGGAACUGCAUUGGAUACUGCCUUGCUUGAGUACUGGAGAGGGAACUGGAAUUUACGGUGUAGCAGUGAAAUGCGUAGAUAUCGUAAGGAAGGCCAGUGGCGAAGGCGAGUUCCUGGACAGUUACUGACGCUGAGGCACGAAGGCCAGGGGAGCAAACGGG
rnacentral:rRNA from 1 species